GUGAGGAAUUUUGGACAAUGGGCGCAAGCCUGAUCCAGCAAUGCCGCGUGCAGGAAGAAGGCCUUCGGGUUGUAAACUGCUUUUGUACGGAACGAAACGGUCCUGGUUAAUACCUGGGGCUAAUGACGGUACCGUAAGAAUAAGCACCGGCUAACUACGUGCCAGCAGCCGCGGUAAUACGUAGGGUGCGAGCGUUAAUCGGAAUUACUGGGCGUAAAGCGUGCGCAGGCGGUGCUGUAAGACAGGCGUGAAAUCCCCGGGCUCAACCUGGGAAUUGCGCUUGUGACUGCAGUGCUGGAGUACGGCAGAGGGGGAUGGAAUUCCGCGUGUAGCAGUGAAAUGCGUAGAUAUGCGGAGGAACACCGAUGGCGAAGGCAGUCCCCUGGGCCUGUACUGACGCUCAUGCACGAAAGCGUGGGGAGCAAACAGGAUUAGAAACCCCGGUAGUCC
rnacentral:rRNA from 1 species